GCACUUUAAUAUUUUUUUAUAUAAUUUUUAUUUCAUUUCUUUAUAUGUGAAGAAAAAUGUUGGGUUAUGUAAUGAACUCCCUCAAAGCUUUAUACGGAAAAAAAAGUGCGUUCUUAAUUCAUUUAAUUGUAAAGGUUUAUUUUUUUUUGGGUUCCCCCUUUUCCUGUUUCACGUGGGGCACUAGUUAGCGCGACACCACGCCUGAAAGCUCCGUGUUUUCCCGGGCAUUUCACAGUCUCAUGGUGAAUGCUGAAUGGGAGAGGGAAAGAGAGGGUGUGUCUACGUGCGUGUGUGCAUGUGCUAACUCUGCCCAUGUAUUGUGUUCAGGUACGUUUUACCAGUGUAUUAACUGUUUUAACUGUUUUAAACUGUUAAAAAGAGGUUCAGUUCUAUAAAUAAUAAUUCAUUGUUGGCCAUUGUGAUAAAUAGCUACCUUAUGUGAUUAUAUUAACCUCAGUUUUGGUUAUUUGUGUGAUGAUUUCGUGUAGCGAAGCAAAAAAGAAAGUUUCUACCUAGUCAGUUAAUCUUAAAAAAGUACACGGCCGAUCAUUUUAUUUACGGUACAAAGUAUUUACAUUUUAUUUAGACAGUCUCAUGGUGAAUGCUGAAUGGGAGAGGGAAAGAGAGGGUGUGUCUACGUGCGUGUGUGCAUGUGCUAACUCUGCCCAUGUAUUGUGUUCAGCAAUAAACAUUGAAGACCGAC